rnacentral:tRNA from 1 species
GCCCUCGUAGCUCAGGCGGAUAGAGCGACGGAUUCCUAAUCCGUAGGCCGUGGGUUCGAGUCCCGCCGAGGGCA